GUCGAACGCUGGCGGCGUGCCUAAUACAUGCAAGUUGAGCGCUGAAGGUUGGUACUUGUACCCACUGGAUGAGCAGCGCACGGGUGAGUAACGCGUGGGGAAUCUGCCUUUGAGCGGGGGACAACAUUUGGAAACGAAUGCUAAUACCGCAUAAAAACUUUAAACACAAGUUUUAAGUUUGAAAGAUGCAAUUGCAUCACUCAAAGAUGAUCCCGCGUUGUAUUAGCUAGUUGGUGAGGUAAAGGCUCACCAAGGCGAUGAUACAUAGCCGACCUGAGAGGGUGAUCGGCCACAUUGGGACAGAGACACGGCCCAAACUCCUACGGGAGGCAGCAGUAGGGAAUCUUCGGCAAUGGACGAAAGUCUGACCGAGCAACGCCGCGUGAGUGAAGAAGGUUUUCGGAUCGUAAAACUCGGUUGGUAGAGAAGAACGUUGGUGAGAGUGGAAAGCUCAUCAAGUGACGGUAACUACACAGAAAGGGACGGCUAACUACGUG
rnacentral:rRNA from 1 species